CCUCCCCUCCCCAGCUUCCAUGGUGGCUGAAAAGCAUUAAGAACAAACUAACCAUCAUCCUUGUUUGAUACGACUUUACUACACUCACUCGAUUUUAAAAUAUCAUAUUAAUGUUAUAUUAUUUUUUUCUUUAUAGCAUGAGGCAAGAUCUACAUUACUUUGAUCACUAUUGAACAGAAACUUUAGUCUGGAAAAUGUUUUGUCAUACUUUUGAGAUAAAAUAAAAUAGUUUUGAAACUGAAGACUCUUUCUUUGUGGUAUAAUUUUCAAUUUAUAAAAUGUGUGCAGCGUGAACAUUAUACUGUGUGCCGUCAUUCGGUAUGUG